rnacentral:snRNA from 1 species
GUACUCCAAAGUACAUAUACUAAAAUUGGAACGAUACAGAGAAGAUUAGCAUGGCCCCUGCGCAAGGAUGACACGCAAAAUCGUGAAGCGUUCCACAUUUUU